AGUUGCAUGUUUUGAUUUUGUCUGAAAGAGAAUGUUGAUUGAGGAAAAUGUAAUCAAAAAUUGUACGCUGAUUUACCUCUUCCAUUACACUCAACCCCCGGUGGUUGGUCACUUUUUCGUUUGACACUUUUUUAGUUUGUACCCCGUUGGUAUUCCGCAAAGCUGCACUCAUUUUUAAAAUUGAAACAAUGUCACACCGGAAAAAAACUCAUCGCAAUGGCAACCCAUAUAUAAUGAACUGUCAAGGUCAUAACUGUGUCAUCGCCUGCCUAGUUUUUGGCAAACGCUGAAAAACGCACGACAAUCGCUCGAAAAUGGCAGGACUCAAUCGACAUCGAGCAGAUCACGCUUCGAAUCGCACGACCGCGGGACUCCAGUCUAUCAGGGAAGGUUUUCCACAAGCUUUAGAAAGCCUUUUGAUCUUUUAUUUAAUUUGAUAAAUAAGUUUUGUAAGGAAUUUGAAAAGAACAAUUAUGGACAAUCAAGUUUGCACUGAGGAAAACCAGGAAAGUUAUGUAGGUUAUCUCUUUAAAAUCAAACUGACAGUUAAAUAAAAAUGUCUAAUUAGCAAAAGCUUUGACCCAAUCAAA